rnacentral:lncRNA from 1 species
GGAGAAUGUGGAGCUCCAUGUCUGCCGUCUUGCCGUCAACUCCUUAACCUGAAAAGAAUCAUAAAUAAUAGGGUAUGAGUGUGCAAGCACACUCAGUGGGGUAAACACUGCAAGCAGUUAUAACCAAUUGUGUAAUGAAUCAUAACAUGUUGAACUCUUAUAUUUUUCACUUAGCUGACAUCUUGUGAGACUAGUCUCGGUCCCUUGUGGACCUGACCCCUUGUGGGCCGUUCAGCUCUUUGAUCCCUUGUGGAUCCGACCCCUUGUGGGUCCCAUUAGUUCAUAUGAAUGACGCACAACACAACAAUGAUUAUAACCAUGUAACAACUACGCUUACAGAUAAAAGUAAACCUCACCUUAAGUGAUUGAAUUCAAACCUCUUCAAGCUUGCUUCGGUUGUCCUCCUCGAGCCUUGGAUG